rnacentral:rRNA from 1 species
GAUGAACGCUGGCGGCGUGCCUAAUACAUGCAAGUCGAGCGAACAGACGCGGAGCUUGCUCCUCUGACGUUAGCGGCGGACGGGUGAGUAACAUGUGGAUAACCUACCUAUAAGACUGGGAUAACUUCGGGAAACCGGAGCUAAUACCGGAUAAUAUAUUGAACCGCAUGGUUCAAUAGUGAAAGACGGCUUUGCUGUCACUUAUAGAUGGAUCUGCGCCGCAUUAGCUAGUUGGUAAGGUAACGGCUUACAAAGGCAACGAUGCGUAGCCGACCUGAGAGGGUGAUCGGCCACACUGGAACUGAGACACGGUCCAGGCUCCUACGGGAGGCAGCAGUAGGGAAUCGUCCGCAAUAGGCGAAAGCUUGACGGAGCAACGCCGCGUGAGUGAUGGAGGUCUUCGGAUCGUAAAACUCUGUUAUUAGGGAAGAACAAAUGUGUAAGUAACUAUGCACGUCUUGACGGUACCUAAUCAGAAAGCCACGGCUAACUACGUG